rnacentral:rRNA from 1 species
GAUGAACGCUGGCGGCGUGCCUAAUACAUGCAAGUCGAGCGAACGGACGAGAAGCUUGCUUCUCUGAUGUUAGCGGCGGACGGGUGAGUAACACUUGGAUAACCUACCUAUAAGACUGGGAUAACUUCGGGAAACCGGAGCUAAUACCGGAUAAUAUUUUGAACCGCAUGGUUCAAAAGUUAAAGACGGUCUUGCUUUCACUUAUAGAUUGAUCCGCGCUUCAUUAGCUAGUUGGUAAGGUAACGGCUUACCAAGGCAACGAUGCAUAGCCGACCUGAGAGGGUGAUCGGCCACACUGGAACUGAGACACGGUCCAGACUCCUACGGGAGGCAGCAGUAGGGAAUCUUCCGCAAUGGGCGAAAGCCUGACGGAGCAACGCCGCGUGAGUGAUGAAGGUCUUCGGAUCGUAAAACUCUGUUAUUAGGGAAGAACAUAUGUGUAAGUAACUGUGCAAAUCUUGACGGUACCUAAUCAGAAAGCCACGGCUAACUACGUG